ensembl:lncRNA
UUAUAUUAAUAUAAUUCUGGCCUUUAUGUUUAUAUUAAAAAUAGCAUUCAUUAACAAUAACAAUAUACAACAACAAUAAUUAUCAUCAGCAACAAUAAUUACACUUAGGAACCAGAGAAUGACACAUCCUCCAUCUGAAAUAAGUUAAGAAAUAAAAAAAAACACCAUGUUUAAAUCAUGUACAGUACAUACAGUGUUGGAUAACAUUUAUCUCUCAGAGCCAUUCCAAAAAGAUUGACAUUGUUUUUCAAAGCAUCCCAUCACAGAUUCUAUUCCUCCCUCGGUGAUGGCUGUCCCCAAUCCCUUAGCUCAGUGGUUCUCCAUCCUGGUUCUAGAGUGCUAGGACCAGGAUUGAGACAUACUGCCUAAGCUAGUCUUAUUUCUAGCCUGAUACCUGGGGUAGUCCAGGGGGUGACAAACUCAAUUCCUGGAGGGCCGAGUGGCUGCGGGUUUUCAGUUCUCCCUUCUACUUGAAUGAUUAAUUAAGGUCACCAGUAAGGAAAUUCCCUUUAGCUGGUUGUCUAGAUCUUAAAUGGACACAAAUGAAAGGGAACAUGAGAAAAACCAGAAGACCUACAGCCUUCCAGGGAACUGAUGCUGACAGCCCUGCUCUAGUCUCAGGAUGGGGAAGAGAGAGACAUAACCACUAUGGCAUAAUGAAUGACCUACAGCCUUCCAGGGAACUGAUGCUGACAGCCCUGCUCUAGUCUCAGGAUGGGGAAGAGAGAGACAUAACCACUAUGGCACAAUGAAUGACCUACAGCCUUCCAGGGAACUGAUGCUGACAGCCCUGCUCUAGUCUCAGGAUGGGGAAGAGAGAGACAUAACCACUAUGGCACAAUGAAUGACCUACAGCCUUCCAGGGAACUGAUGCUGACAUCCCUGCUCUAGUCUCAGGAUGGGGAAGAGAGAGACAUAACCACUAUGGCAUAAUGAAUGAUCUACAGCCUUCCAGGGAACUGAUGCUGACAGCCCUGCUCUAGUCUCAGGAUGGGGAAGAGAGAGACAUAACCACUAUGGCAUAAUGAAUGACCUACAGCCUUCCAGGGAACUGAUGCUGACAGCCCUGCUCUAGUCUCAGGAUGGGGAAGAGAGAGACAUAACCACUAUGGCAUAAUGAAUGACCUACAGCCUUCCAGGGAACUGAUGCUGACAGCCCUGCUCUAGUCUCAGGAUGGGGAAGAGAGAGACAUAACCACUAUGGCACAAUGAAUGACCUACAGCCUUCCAGGGAACUGAUGCUGACAGCCCUGCUCUAGUCUCAGGAUGGGGAAGAGAGAGACAUAACCACUAUGGCACAAUGAAUGACCUACAGCCCUCAAAUUCAAAUCCGGACCCUCAAAGCCAGUCCCCCUGCUUUUUUUCAUUGUUCCCCACUAACCAGGGACUGACUUAUACCUGGGGUGGCUGCAAUUCAUUACCAGGGAGAACAGAAAAGCAGCAGGCUCUGGACCUCGUAGGGUCAGAGUUCAAUUCUCCUGAUAUACAGUAAAAUCUCCAGUUCCUUAUUGUAACCUGGGUGUUUGACUGUUGAGUCAGUCAACAACGCUACAUUGUUGCUUCCGUGUUUGGCAAGACAAAGACAACAGACUUCCCUACAGCUGAAACACACAACUCCCCAGGCGACGUUGAAGACCUACUGAGCAACAAUUCCCUUGAAAUAUUUCCGCCACACAUUCCAGGCUAUGUUGAAAAAGUUGAAACAUCUAAGGUAUAGAGUCAGUGUUGGAUGUUGAGUGUUGAGUGUCUGUCAUCUGAGUAGUCUAUGGCCUCCUGCUAUGGUGACUAUGGCGACGUUUGGCAUAUGUUCCUUUCUCUGCUCUCCCAGUGCAAAAAUGCUGUCCUUCAAUCUAGGUUUUACAGUUCUAUUUCUGCUUCUCUCUAUCAAAGAGAGAACAGCUAGACCUGUUCAACAUCUCUUCAACAAAACACUCCUAUGUUUUCACUCUGUUUUCCAGUUCUAUACCUGCUUUUCUCUGUAAUAGAUAUAGGACAACUAGAACUGUUCUAUUUAAAUGCUCUCUAUACGCUCCCUCUACUUCUCCCUCUAUGUUUUCUAGUUCUAUCUGCGCUCCAGUGUGUAACUACUCCAGUGUUUGGAUUGGUUAGAUCCAGAUGUAGACAGAACAUUGAAAGAUACUGUAGUAGUAGAAAUGACAUGUCUCUGUGUGUGUGUGUGUGAUGUCCUGAGCUUCUCGCUCCAGAUCUAAGAUCAGCUUCCCCUCCACCAAAUCUAACAUUAACCAUUAGCAAGGAAAAUGCUAAACUGACCCAAGAUCAGUGUCUAAGGGUGCAUUCCCCCUACACCGAGCUUCUCCUUUCAGUGCUUCACUAUCCAUAUGUUCUAUCCCACUUUACUCAUGUUAUCCCCAGUUACACCAGUCAUAUUCCCAGGACAGUUAUCCCCAGUUACACCAGUCAUAUUCCCAGGACAGUUAUCCCAGUUACACCAGUCAUAUUCCCAGGACAGUUAUCCCAGUUACACCAGUCAUAUUCCCAGGACAGUUAUCCCCAGUUACACCAGUCAUAUUCCCUGGACAGUUAACCCCAGUGACACCAGUCAUAUUCCCAGGACAGUUAUCCCCAGUUACACCAGUCAUAUUCCCUGGACAGUUAUCCCCAGUGACACCAGUCAUAUUCCCAGGACAGUUAUCCCAGUUACACCAGUCAUAUUCCCAGGACAGUUAUCCCCAGUUACACCAGUCAUAUUCCCAGGACAGUUAUCCACAGUUACACCAGUCAUAUUCCCAGGACAGUUAUCCCCAGUGACACCAGUCAUAUUCCCAGGACAGUUAUCCCAGUUACACCAGUCAUAUUCCCAGGACAGUUAUCCCCAGUUACACCAGUCAUAUUCCCAGGACAGUUAUCCCAGUUACACCAGUCAUAUUCCCAGGACAGUUAUCCCCAGUUACACCAGUCAUAUUCCCAGGACAGUUAUCCCAGUUACACCAGUCAUAUUCCCAGGACAGUUAUCCCCAGUUACACCAGUCAUAUUCCCAGGACAGUUAUCCCCAGUUACACCAGUCAUAUUCCCAGGACAGUUAUCCCAGUUACACCAGUCAUAUUCCCAGGACAGUUAUCCCAGUUACACCAGUCAUAUUCCCAGAACAGUUAUCCUAGUUACACCAGUCAUAUUCCCAGGACAGUUAUCCCCAGUGACACCAGUCAUAUUCCCAGGACAGUUAUCCCAGUUACACCAGUCAUAUUCCCAGGACAGUUAUCCCCAGUGACACCAGUCAUAUUCCCAGGACAGUUAUCCCCAGUUACACCAGUCAUAUUCCCAGGACAGUUAUCCCAGUUACACCAGUCAUAUUCCCAGGACAGUUAUCCCAGUUACAACAGUAGGAUAACAUUGUUUAUCUGAGAACAGUUUCCAUUGUCAACCCAGUACAUUCCAGUGAAAAUAUCCACAUCCAAGCUUUGCAUUGUCUCUUAGAAAUAGAUGGCCUCAAGCACCAUUUUGGGCCAAUAAGAUUUCAGUUCUAUUCUCAGCAACCAAUCAUAGUCAAGCUGUAGAGAGGGGCGUGUUCCAUGGCAUCUAAAUCAACCAAUCAAUGGCUGUUGCAGCAAGCAAUCUAAUGAUAUCCGCCGAACACCCUCCUUAACUGUCCAAUCAGUAGCCAGUGUUCAAAGUAGGCGGGGCUAGAAUUAUACAAGCCAAUGGCUGAUGGGAGAUGUAGUUUGCUUGGCUCCUUUUUCAAAGGUUACAUCACUCUCCUUCCAGUGUUAAACAUCCAGAACUACCUCCUUUCUAAGGAGUCUCUGUCUGAAAUUGUCCAUUGUCUUGAUAUCGCGGUUUAAAUAAAGCUAGCAGAUUUUUUAUAGAAAGAUGCUACAUGCUACAUUCUGGGGUGCAAAGAUUGACACAGCCUGCAGUAAUGUCUGUUAGCAUAGCCAGCAGUAGAGUCCAGAAGUGCUGCCCAGUCUCCAGUGUCCAUCUUGAGGUUCCAUAACCAGCAGUAGAGUCCAGAAGUGCUGCCCAGUCUCCAGUGUCCAUCUUGAGGUUCCAUAACCAGCAGUAGAGUCCAGAAGUGCUGCCCAGUCUCCAGUGUCCAUCUUGAGGUUCCAUAGCCAGGCAGUAUCCCUCAUUAUUCAUUAGGGCACACAACGUUUUAUAAAACAAGAAAUUAGGGUUUAUUCCAUGUUGUCCCUGUUUCAGUCCGUUUUCUUCCGUUUGGUGCCUAAUGAACACGACCCUGGGUGGGCCCGGCAAACACAGUCGACCCAGUUGCCUGUAGAAGAGAGGUAGAGGAGUUAGAUAGUCUCUCAUUCUCAAGCUUUUCAUUCCUCCCCUCCAUACUAUGUCUGACAUUUUAAUAUCUACACCCUCAAUUUAUCUUCCUUUCUCUCCCUCCUUCUCUCCCGCUGCCUCCCUCUGUCUUUCUUACCUUUCCAUCUGCUGGUCUGCCUCCCUCUGUCUU